rnacentral:rRNA from 1 species
UACAGAGGUGGCAAGCGUUGUUCGGAAUUACUGGGCGUAAAGGGCGCGUAGGCGGCCGCCUAAGUCAGACGUGAAAUCCCCAAGCUUAACUUGGGAACUGCGUCUGAUACUGGGUGGCUUGAGUUCGGGAGAGGAAUGUGGAAUUCCAGGUGUAGCGGUGAAAUGCGUAGAUAUUGGGAGGAACACCAGUGGCGAAGGCGGCUCACUGGACCGGAACUGACGCUGAGGCGCGAAAGCGUGGGGAGCAAACAGG